rnacentral:rRNA from 1 species
CCUACGGGAGGCAGCAGUGAGGAAUAUUGGUCAAUGGGCGCGAGCCUGAACCAGCCAAGUCGCGUGAGGGAAGACGGUCCUAUGGAUUGUAAACCUCUUUUGUCUGGGAGCAAAAGACGCCACGCGUGGCGUUCCGAGAGUACCCGAAGAAAAAGCAUCGGCUAACUCCGUGCCAGCAGCCGCGGUAAUACGGAGGAUGCGAGCGUUAUCCGGAUUUAUUGGGUUUAAAGGGUGCGCAGGCGGAAGAUCAAGUCAGUGGUAAAAUUGAGAGGCUCAACCUCUUCGAGCCGUUGAAACUGGUUGUCUUGAGUGAGUGAGAAGUAUGCGGAAUGCGUGGUGUAGCGGUGAAAUGCAUAGAUAUCACGCAGAACUCCGAUUGCGAAGGCAGCAUACCGGCGCUCAACUGACGCUCAUGCACGAAAGUGUGGGUAUCGAACAGGAUUAGAUACCCCAGUAGUC